CUCUAGUGGAUGUAAUUCUGUACCAAGGCUGAAUUUUGGGAAAGAGACUUCAGAUACAGUAUUAGGAGACCACUAAGGCCUAUCCAAGCAUUCAAAGAGCACCGUGUCAUGGGCCCUUUAAACACAACUGCUAAGACAAAUAUC